GACGGGCACAAUGGCUUAAUAAUGAAUUGUAAUCAGACUUCGGACUCGACCGCGCGCGUACUCGAAUGGCAAUUGGCCGCGCAUUUCUCUCGGCCCGUACUCGACGCAAGGUUUCGAAACGGUAGCCCGGCGGCGAUCGUUGCAAUACAUUGUCGUUGCCACGUAGGCGCGCCCGUCGGUGUUUCGCGCGGCGACUUUUGUCGACAUUGCACGGGCCGGUGUAAUUAUCGGGCGCGCGUGGACGGCACUCGUUCACGCGGAAAGUCGGUCAAAUUGACGGUUGGGGGGGUGAGGUGUGGCGGUUGGAGG